rnacentral:rRNA from 1 species
UGGGGAAUAUUGGACAAUGGGCGCAAGCCUGAUCCAGCCAUGCCGCGUGUGUGAAGAAGGCCUUUUGGUUGUAAAGCACUUUAAGCGAGGAGGAGGCUACUUGGAUUAAUACUCUAGGAUAGUGGACGUUACUCGCAGAAUAAGCACCUGCUAACUCUGUGCCAGCAGCCGCGGUAAUACAGAGGGUGCGAGCGUUAAUCGGAUUUACUGGGCGUAAAGCGUGCGUAGGCGGCUUCUUAAGUCGGAUGUGAAAUCCCUGAGCUUAACUUAGGAAUUGCAUUCGAUACUGGGAAGCUAGAGUAUGGGAGAGGAUGGUAGAAUUCCAGGUGUAGCGGUGAAAUGCGUAGAGAUCUGGAGGAAUACCGAUGGCGAAGGCAGCCAUCUGGCCUAAUACUGACGCUGAGGUACGAAAGCAUGGGGAGCAAACAGG